rnacentral:rRNA from 1 species
UGGGGAAUAUUGCACAAUGGGCGCAAGCCUGAUGCAGCCAUGCCGCGUGUGUGAAGAAGGCCUUCGGGUUGUAAAGCACUUUCAGCGAGGAGGAAGGUGGUGAGCUUAAUACGCUCAUCAAUUGACGUUACUCGCAGAAGAAGCACCGGCUAACUCCGUGCCAGCAGCCGCGGUAAUACGGAGGGUGCAAGCGUUAAUCGGAAUUACUGGGCGUAAAGCGCACGCAGGCGGUUUGUUAAGUCAGAUGUGAAAUCCCCGGGCUCAACCUGGGAACUGCAUUUGAAACUGACAAGCUAGAGUCUCGUAGAGGGGGGUAGAAUUCCAGGUGUAGCGGUGAAAUGCGUAGAGAUCUGGAGGAAUACCGGUGGCGAAGGCGGCCCCCCUGGACGAAGACUGACGCUCAGGUGCGAAAGCGUGGGGCAGCAAACAGGAUUAGAUACCCUGGUAGUCCAGCGCUGUAAACGAUGUCGAUUUGGAGGUUGUGCCCUUGAGGCGUGGCUUCCGGAGCUAACGCGUUAAAUCGACCGCCUGGGGGAGUACGGCCGCAAGGUUAAAACUUAAAUGAAUUG